UUUUCUUGGCAGUAGCACAACACAAUCACGUCAAUAGUGGGAGCUGAUUUCUCACUUUGAUUCACCAAUCUACUUAGCAACGUUUUCCCCCACAAAUACCUUGAUAAUUUGUGUUUUCUUCAAAAAAAAGAAAAAUAGAUGCCACAUAGGAGGGCACGUGUAAACAACAAGGGCAGCACCUAAAUACCCAUUUGAUGACUAAGUGGAUCCAUUAUUUCAUUCACAAAAUUGGAAUUUGAGAGAGAAGCAAUUUAUUUCCCAAAGUGAGCUAGAGAGAAGGACUCUCGGCCAUGGUUGCUCUUAGUUGAGCUCAAGAUUUUGAUAACAAAUAAAAUGGUUUCUAAGGUGCUACAUACAUUCAAAGGGGGUGGCAGCAUGAAUUUAAUUCUUGGAGCAACAAGAAUACUUGCAAUCUUAAUCUACAAAAUGCAACAACGUUAGGUGUUCUCAAUUUGCUAAGGUACAGAUAGUCGGUUUGGUGACCCUUCAGCAUAGGACUUCCACUCAGCUGUCUUGGAGAGCUCCGUUGUUCCGGAGUCUAGACUUUUAAUACAGAUCUCAUGAUAUAUAUAUAUAUAUAUAUAUAUAUAUGUUUAUCCAGGGGUACGGCGGGGCCCUGUCCCGUCAUAUGUUACUGUUAAUACUCUUAGAGGUCUGUAGACAUAUGUGUGGGUUGUGUAUAAGCUCUGUUCAGCUGUGUCUAUACGUUGUGCUAUGUAUAUGUUCGUCUGUAAUGGCAGCCUAGUCGGCUAGCAUAUGAGAUGAUAUUGAUGUGUAGUGGCAGCCUUGUCGGCUUGCGUAUCGUUUUAUUAUUUGAUCAGUUGUGACUCCUCAGGAGACAGUUUAUCUCUGAAUAUACAUAUAUGACGACGUUAUGAACCGUUGGAGUUCUUUUGCAA